UGUGAUCCUGCCUUGUUUUGUUGUAUUCAUAAGCUGAGUAUGCAAGAGUACUAAUUUAAUAUGAGCGAUUCGACUUCUCCUUGCAGCAUAAGCGUGAUGAUGCAGGUGAUGAUGCAGAUGGGCGUGAUGAAGAGAUGUUGGAGGUGGAUAUUGUUUAGCAUAGUGAUCAGUAUGUUGCCAUUGUAGGAUGUGACUUUGUACACCGCUGGUGCAUAUGUAGGGGAAUAGAGCUAAUGAAC
rnacentral:lncRNA from 1 species